AACAAGCAAGCUUUGCCAGAAGGGAAUGUCUAGCUGCCCAAAUAUUACUCAGGAGCAAAAAAACGACAGACAGUAUGUCUUUACUUUGAAAAAUGUUGGUCUUGAACAAAUGAAGUUUACCUAUGAGUGUGAGAUAACAUUGGAAAUAAAUGAUCUGGAUUUGACCGAAAAGGGAGAACCAACCCAACUCCUAUACAAUUUUAACGUAAACCAGCCGCAGUUUCAGGAUGUUAAUCCAGACCAAACAGCCUCUAUCAGCUGUCAACAUGAUGCAGAGGAAUCAACCGUGCAGGAGGUUGGACUGUACAGGAUUUCACAGGAAAUCCAAGAGAACAUCUGCCAGAUAGGAGAUAAGUGCACAAAUAUUGUCCCCUAUCAGGAGAACUCCAAAAAGUUUGUCUUUAUUUUACUAAAUGUUGGACCAGAAGAAAUGAAGUUCAGCUAUCAGUGUGAGAUAAAGGUGAAGUUGGGAUGUGUGAAAAACACCAGCAAAGGAAAACCAACCAAGCUAA